AAAGAAAAGAAAAGAAAAGAAAAGAAAAGAAAAGAAAAGAAAAGAAAAGAAAAGAAAAGAAAAGAAAAGAAAAGAAAAGAAAAACCCAUGUAGCCUGUUGACCCUGGCUGGAUGCCAGGCACUCACCAAAGCUGCUCACUCCCUUCCACAGAUAGACAGAAGAGAGAAAAUAGAAUGAAGGCUUCACAGGUUGAGAUAAAGACUAGGACAGAUCCCUCAGCAGAUGCCAUCAUGGACAAAACAGGUUCAAAAUUAGAGACAUUAAUUGAAUUUAUUGCUAUCAAAAUCAAAGCAGGAUAGUGAGAAGUAAAAUAAAGCUUUAGAAAACCUUCUGCCCAGCUCUGCCUCCUCCCCCAGUGGGUGGAGACAGGCAAUGGGGGUUCUGCUCAGUUCAUCACUCCUUGUUUCUCCUGCUGCUCGGGAGAGGAGUCGUUCCCUGCUGUGCCAGGGGUCCCUCCCCCAGACACUUCUCCAUGAACUUCUCCCGGGUGAGUUCAUCUCAGGGACAGCAGCUCUUCACAAACUGCUGCAGCGUGCCUCACACUCCCAUGGCCUCACAAGUCCUGCCAGGCCCCUGCUCCAGCCUGGGCUCCUCUCUCCACGGGUUUGCAGGUCCCUGCCAGGUCCCUGCUCCAGCACAGCUUUCCCGUGGGGUCACAGCCCCGCUCAGGCACCCCCUGCUCCAGCACGGGCUCCUCCAGGCGCUGCAGGUGCAUCUCUGCUCUCCCUGCCCUCCAUGGGCUGCAGGGCCCGGCUGCCUCCCCAGGGACUGCCCCAGGGAAUCUCAGGGCAACCAGCUCCACACCUGGAGCAGCUCCUGUCCCUCCUCCUGUCCUGCCCUGCCCUGGGAUGUGCAGAGUUGUUCCUCUCACAUGUUCUCACCCUGCUCUUCCCUGCUCACAGUUACAGCUUCACGAUCGCCCACUUUCUUUUUCUUAAAUCUCUUUUCCCAAAGGUGUUACCACCAUUUCCAACUGGCCCAGCCUUGGCCGGUCCAUCCUGGAGCCAGCUGGAAUUGACUCUGUGGGAGAUGGAGGAGCAGCUGCUUCCAGCCUUUCACAGAAGGUGCUCCUAGAGCUCCCCCUUACCCAAAUCUGGCCAUGCAAACCAAGUAUAAGUAUGAAAUUCCAGUUCCCAAAGUUUGGGCACAUGGAGAAGGCUGCGAGGAAGAGGAAGAUGUCCCAGGACACCCAGGCAGACAAGGAGCUGAGGAUGGAGAGCAGGGAGGACAAAUCCCCAAAGCAGAACCUCGUGGAAGAGGCCGUUUUGAGUGACUCCACAGCACAGGAAUCCAACGGGGCGGAAAAGCCCUGGAGAUCCCACACGAGGAGGGGCUCCAAACCCAGCCCAGGCUGCUCUGAGGAGGAAAGACCCCCCCUGGGCCAGAAAGGUGGAAAGAGCUUCAGGAAGAGCUCAGAGCUGGUUGUCCAUGAGCAUCUUCAUGGCAGGGAGAAGCCCUACAAGUGCUUGGAAUGUGGGAAGAGCUUCAGUCAGUGCUCCAGCCUCCUCACCCAUGUUCGGGUGCACCUGGAUGGAACUCCCUUUGAGCAGGGCCAGAUUUGAGCUGGAAUAUUGGGAUUCUCAGAGCCAGGCUAGCGAGUGUGCUCAGCACAUCCCCUGCCAACCUGGAGAUGCUGCAAGUCCAGCACAGUCAGAGCAGGGGAGAGCCCAGUCACUUCCAGUAGGAGCCCAAAGCUCAUGGAACACCUGGAGGACCCACCCGGAGGAAGAUCCCUACAAGUUCUCUGGCUGCAGGAAGAGCCCCAAGGAAUGGAGGUCCCACUAAAGCCACCACCCGAAGAAGGAGGUGGUGACAGCUCUGCAUCCUGGGGCCCCGGGACCACCAGGGGGGCCCCCAAACCAACACAACAGCAAGUGGCUCAUACAGGCCUUCAUCCUGUCUUCAGAAUCCCACUCUUGGCAUCCCUCAUCCUUCUCUGCAGUCCUCCCUCUAACAUCUCUAAGCCUCUGGGAAGAGCUCAAAGGGAUGGUAGUGCCCAAAAAGCUGCUGAAGUGCCUGAGCUGCUCCCAGCUGCGGAUGUUCCUGUCCGCAAACCUCUACUGGUCAGUGCCAUGGGGGGCUGGGAAGGAGUUUAGGGGAUCCUGAGAGGAUUGGAAGGGGUUUUGGUGUCUCUUGGCUGCAUUUGUGGUGCUGGGAGCAGGUUAAGGGAGCUUUGGAGGGGUCUGUGGGAGAGUUUUGGGAGUUCUGGAAGGGCUGUGUGGCUUGGAGAGAACUUGGAUGGGUCUUGGGAGAGGUGGGAAAGAGUUUUGAUGGAUCUUGGGGCCAUUUCUCUUGCACAGAGUGGUUUGGGGUAUGGGGGCAGCCAGGAUCUGUGGGAUGGUUUGAGGGAGCUGGGAGUGGCAGUGGGGCUGGGAGAGGGUUUUAGGGCAGUCGUGACCCCGCAGACACCCAGAGCUGCUGCCAGAGCCUGCCCACAAGGUGCUGCCGAGGGACAGGGGCUCCAUGUAGGGGUUUGUCUUCCUGGCACCACGGGAGUGAGGGGGGAUCCCCAGGGGCCGUGUGUGAGCCCCCCAUCCCGGUGUCACCCCCUUGUCCCUCCCCACAGGGCUCCUGCCUCAGCUCCUGCUCCCCCAGAGAGAAUUUGGGGAGGGGGCAGAGGGGGUGUACAGCCCCCGAUGGGGGAUGACCCCGGCCCAGCCCCUUUGUGCAGCACCAAGCUGGGCUCGGGGCCGCAGCAGGAAGAGCUGAUGGGAAGCAGAUCCUGCAGCUGGGACAGAGCUUGGGGUCAGGGCAAGGCCCUGCCCUGCACACCUGGCUCAGGUGUGACCCUGCUCCAGCAAGGGAGUGGGACAUUCCCAUCCCCAUGGAUGCUGUCCCCAAAAUCCCACUCUUGGGAUCCUUCAUCCGUCUCUGCAGUCCCUGCUCCAACAUCUCCACGCCUUUGGGAAGAGCCCUGGUGCUGACAGAACUUGGAUCAAAGUUACAAGGUGCUGAUAUAGCUUGGGUUAUAAGAUAUCAAUAUAACCUGACAUAUCUAUAUAACCUAAGUCAUGACUUUUUAUA